rnacentral:rRNA from 1 species
AGAAUCAACGCUGGCGGCGUGCCUAACACAUGCAAGUCGAACGAGAAAGUGGAGCAAUCCAUGAGUACAGUGGCGUACGGGUGAGUAACACGUGACUAACCUACCCUCGAGUGGGGAAUAACCUCGGGAAACCGGGGCUAAUACCGCAUAACAUCUUCGGAUCAAAUGCGUAAGCAGCUUGAGGAGGGGGUCGCGGCCGAUUAGCUAGUUGGCGGGGUAAUGGCCCACCAAGGCAAUGAUCGGUAGCCGGCCUGAGAGGGCGCACGGCCACACUGGAACUGAAACACGGUCCAGACUCCUACGGGAGGCAGCAGUGGGGAAUUUUGCGCAAUGGGGGAAACCCUGACGCAGCAACGCCGCGUGGAGGAUGAAGCCCCUUGGGGUGUAAACUCCUUUCGAUCGGGACGAUUAUGACGGUACCGGAUGAAGAGCACCGGCUAACUCUGCGCCAGCAGCCGC